rnacentral:rRNA from 1 species
AUUCCAGCUCCAAUAGCGUAUAUUAAAGUUGUUGCAGUUAAAAAGCUCGUAGUUGAAUUUGUGGUGUUGUCCUUGGCCCAAAAUCUUUUGGUGCCGUUGGGCGAUGUCAUCCUUGGGUGGAACCUGUGGGGCAUUAGGUUGUUUUGCAGGGGAUGCCCAUCGUUUACUGUGAAAAAAUUAGAGUGUUCAAAGCAGGCUUAUGCCGUUGAAUAGAUUAGCAUGGAAUAAUGAGAUAGGACUUUGGUACUAUUUUGUUGGUUUGUGCACUGAAGUAAUGAUUAAUAGGGACAGUUGGGGGUAUUCGUAUUCCAUUGUCAGAGGUGAAAUUCUUGGAUUUUUGGAAGACGAACUACUGCGAAAGCAUUUACCAAGGAUGUU